rnacentral:lncRNA from 1 species
UUUUUUUUUCUGGAUAGAGAUUGUUCUCCCCUUGAGCUGUUGCUGGAAGGGGUCAUUGGAAGGGAAACAACAACCCUGAUGGAAACUAAUGACUGUAUCUUUUCCAUUUCCCAUGAAAGUAAGAAAUGGCUGCUGUCCAGUCAACUUUGGGAGGAAAACUGCAACGUUUUGAAGAAGAAAAAUAAAAGGUGAUAUAGAGAUGAAGUAGCGAGAGGAAGCUGGUAAUAAAGUUCAGCUCCUCUGCUCCCAAACAUGGAAUGGAUUAUUCUGGAGAAAAUUAAUGAAAAUGUUGGAUGGAGGGGAAUUUGAAGCAGAUGCAUAUCUUUCCCUGCUCAAAGACCUAAAGGUCCUUCAAAACUCAAAUUGUUUUUAACCAAAAGAAUUCAUAGCAGAAUUGAGUAAGAGUGUUGUCUUCAAUUUUUUUUUUUCCCAUGCGAAUAAUAAGCAACAGCUGGGACUGUUUUGAUACCACCCUGUGGUAUCACUUAGUCUUCUUUUUUUAAUAAUGAAGCCACCUCUGCUCAUCAUGUUUGGUAGGAGAAGCACUCAGCCCUUUGUGAUGGAGAAGUUUGGAAAGCACAGCUCACCUUUGUCAGGGAUGAAAACGGGUUAGCACAAGAGCAAGCUGCCCCCACUUGGCACUGAGCUGCCAGGGCACUGCCUUCACUGAUGGUUAGGGCAUGGAAGGAUUUGUGCAAUACAGCAAUGCCGUCUGUGUGUGUAAAAGCUGGGAUCUCAAUAGAAUUGUCAAAAAUUGAUGAUGUGUCCUCAAACAUGAGGAGCUUUUCCUCUUUAUAGUCAAGGAUACAAAUACCCUAACAAAAGCAAUUGAGAAUAGCUCAGAUAAAUUUAUUUGUCUUACACAGACCCCCUAAUGUUUGAUGUGAGAAGCACUAAGUAGUUAAACACCUCAGUGCUCUCACCUCAGGCUUUGGGACUAACCAUAGCUCAAUCAAGCAUACGGUAGGAAACCAUGAUGCAGAUGUUGUAUUGCUGCUGCAAAUUUAAUGUUUAAUGAUAUUCAGUGGGUAUAUGAUAGUCUUGCUUGGUUAUAUCAUAAUAAAUUACAAGUAACAUUACAAAAUUGCUUCUGCCUUCUGAAUUACUGAGAGAAAUUGGUUAGUAAAUUGCUGAGUACCGUACUUCUAGCUAAUUAUCAUUAAGUGUGUAUGCAUAUGUAUGCACAUACACACACAAGGCCUUUUUAUCAGAACUCAAUAUGAAACCAUCUGAGGAAAACCUGCUAGCUUCCUAUAUGGCGUAGUACAGAGUGACUCAACUGAAUGCACUACAAAAUAGUGAAGGUAGCUAUGCCUAUCAGGAAUGCUUUGUUGUAUGUAGUAUGCCUUUGGUUCUGUUUCCUAGUGGGAAUCUCACUUUAUAAAAUGAACUUUGGAUGUCUUUAAUGAAGUUCACUG